rnacentral:tRNA from 1 species
AUCCUUGAGGUGUUUACAUAUAAGAUUGCAAAUCUUAAGUAUCACUAGUAUUAUCUGCCGGGGCUU